GACGAACGCUGGCGGCGUGCUUAACACAUGCAAGUCGAACGGAAAGGCCCUGCUUUUGUGGGGUGCUCGAGUGGCGAACGGGUGAGUAACACGUGAGUAACCUGCCCUUGACUUUGGGAUAACUUCAGGAAACUGGGGCUAAUACCGGAUAGGAACUCCUGCUGCAUGGUGGGGGUUGGAAAGUUUCGGCGGUUGGGGAUGGACUCACGGCUUAUCAGCUUGUUGGUGGGGUAGUGGCUUACCAAGGCUUUGACGGGUAGCCGGCCUGAGAGGGUGACCGGCCACAUUGGGACUGAGAUACGGCCCAGACUCCUACGGGAGGCAGCAGUGGGGAAUAUUGCACAAUGGGCGGAAGCCUGAUGCAGCAACGCCGCGUGCGGGAUGACGGCCUUCGGGUUGUAAACCGCUUUCGCCUGUGACGAAGCGUGAGUGACGGUAAUGGGUAAAGAAGCACCGGCUAACUACGUG
rnacentral:rRNA from 1 species